AGAAGGCACAGCAAUGUCUUUUGCAUGCACUAGGUUUUACGAGAGCGACUCAUGCUAGCAAUGCAAAAUGCAUCGCUUGGCCUGCAGUACUGGGUUUGCCAAGGGACCAGAGAUUUGCAUCUUAAGACGCACAUUUUGCUCCCCAGAUCAUUUCCCUUUUUUAAUCAGCUCUGCCUUACAUCUAACUUUAAAGUGUUUCAAAUGCUGCCAGUGGAUGAGAAGGGGAAAUGGAUGCUUUCAGAUUCUAUUGGCAAAUUUUCCUGCAAGGAAAAGUCUUUCUUGUUUUAAAUCUGAGUGUAUAUUCUGCAUUCACGUGUGUAUGUGUAUGAAAGCAAAGGCAGCCAUUAAUGCCUUGCGUCAUACUGUAUGAUAUGCAUAUUAGAAUGUACUACAUAUUGCAUGUGACACAUGUAAUACAUAAACCAGACAUAAUAUCAAGAUGCAAAAUAUAUAGAAUACAUUUUAUGUAUAUGUAUAUAUUAUGCUUUUCAACCAUAAGGCUAAGAAUGCUAAAGGCAUACACUUUAAUAUAGUCACAACUGGCUACAGAGCUGGUUGUGAGAUGGGAUCUGUUUGCAUCGUCGUCACCCUGCUUGUUUUUCUUUGUCUUGAGAUCUGGCUUCAUGCCUAGAGUGCUUUUAUUGUGGCCUCUCCUCAUCUGGGCCCUGAUCAUACGGUAGAAGUUGUUUGUGUAAAUCCUAACUGCUGCAUUUCUCCAGAGUCCCGUUGUCUUCUCAAAGGUUUUUAAUGUGCAGGGAUCUCCCUCGGGGUCAGCGCAUAACCAUUACAUUAAAACCUCUGUUCUCUCUCUCGCUGAAAUCGGUAGCAAAAUGCCACUUGUCUCAGUUACUGCAGGUCAGUCUGGGAGACACAAGUGUGAUGCGGUGAGGGCUCUAUAGCUGAGAGGAGUUUGCCUGAGUACAUAGGUGCCUAAUUCCUCUUUGGUUCGUCGGGACCGAGGCAAAUGUCUGUGACUGUCUGGGCCUUGGGAGCCAUCCUGCAUCCCUUGAAGCACGUAACCAGCCGGUGGGUAAGUAAGCCUGGCGAAUAAGUGGGACUGAGGAAGGAUCAGCGUGGUGGCAUCUCUGCUGAUACUGUGUAAAAAGUUGUCUUGGUCAGUGAGUUAAUUCAGUAAAAAGCUGUUGUUGUUCUUAGUUGUGUUUCAGGGUCACUGUAAUGAAAUCUUUUCUGUGAGUGCAAGAGAGUGACUCUUCAAAUUUUGUGUUGCCCUAGCAGAUACCCUAGCAACUAGCAAGAGAACCUGCUAUUUAAGAGGGAUGUUUCAAGGCUGCUGCUGUCUCCUAGCAGAAUGCCCAUGUUUGGGGUUAUUUUAUGGCUGACUGUAUCAGCUGAUAAAAGUUUCCCCAAAGUAAGAUAUAAAAAACUCAGGUUAAGCACAAGUUCAGGAGGAGGCAUGAGGCACGCUGAGCCUACGUCAGAAAAUUUCCGUGCUUGUUUCUUCCCUUGGCCCUGACCCCGUUGCUCCUGCCAGGCAGGAGCCCUCCCUGCUCAGAACAGGUUGUUCUCCCGACCAGCAUGACAGACGGCUGGGCAGGGAGACUCCGGCAAAAAAAACAGAUGUGAGGCAAAUUACUGGUAGCAUAAUCCCAGCGUGUCUUUUGUAAAGAGAUUUCCUGCUCUCAGGUGAAAUUCAGCAGUGAGUUUCUAGCUGGAGCGUUGCCUGCACACAGACACGUGCAUGCAUGCACAUGCAUACACCAAACACCCGUGUGGAGGAACCUUGUUGAAAACAGACAGCUUUGUGCGGUUUUUGCAAUCCAUGGUUUUUGGUUCUGAAAAGAAGGUGCAAAUGAAAAUGUGGAAGGCAGGAGUGGUGUUUGCUCCCUGGGUUUUCUGUGUUAGAGCUAAGAGAAAUACAAAAAGCCAACAGAAGCUUGGAAGCUGUAACCUGGAACUUAUGUUUAGGCAUGUAAAUCCUUCUCUAAGCAUCUCCUGAAAAGCAAGGCAGUGAAGUCCCAGAGUCAUCAAUAAUACUGUGUAUUAUAGAACUUCUGGAAUUUGGCAUUUUUAUUAAGGAGCCUGCAGAAUUUUUUCAAGUGACUGAAGUGACGUAGUGGCACACAUGCCACUUUACAGAGGACUCGUGUCGCCAAAUCACAGAGAUGCUUUCGAAAAUCUCACCUCGGAUUCUUAGCUCUUAGCACUCACUCCUGGAUGUUUGAAACACAAAUCUGUCUGUCUGUCUGUCUAGCUAUUUCCUUCGGAAGGCAGAGCGCAUCCUCAUGAAGCAAAGUAGGCACCUCCAGGGACUUGUUUCCAUAACAACCUCCCAGACUUUCUCUCUACCCUGUGACUUUGGCUACAAGGAAAAGCACUCGUUGAAUAUUUUCAGUUCACAGAUAUUAGUACCUUACCUUUACAGCUGUUUUCUUUACUUACUGAAGAUGAUCCUAUCACCUUAUAACAUGUACAACUGUCCUGUCCAACUCCAGACAGACAGUUAUCAUCGUUUGAAAGCAGAGAGUGCAAACCAGGAGAUGGGAAGGGAUUUUAUCGGCAUAUCCUUGUGCACAGAGAAAUGGGGAGUGCGUGAAGGGCAAUCUGAGGACUCGCAGUCAAGGAGCUGAGGGGCAACUGGCCUGUGAAUGUAGAGCCAUCCUGGUGCCCGGUGACAAGGAAUACAAGCUAAAGCAUCACAUUAAAAAAAGCAGAAACUCCUCUUUCAACAAUCUCACUAGGAAAUAGUUUUGCUGUGGAAGAGACUAUUGCUCCUUCCAGAACCCUUGGCUGUUCCGUGCCAGUCGGUUGCCCAGAUAAUUUUCCCACAGGAUGUUUUGCAGCAAAGCAGGACAGGGCAGAAAUCAUCUUGUUGGAGGUGGGGAGGGAAGGAAAGGAAAGGAAGAAUUUUACUGAGGACACCUUUUUUUAAUCUGCACUCAUCAACCACACAAAAGACUGUAAGCGUGAACGGCAUGGAGAGCUGUUUUGCGAUAUUUCAAAGUCUACAUUUCUGGUGGAUUCCUGCAGUUACCUCCAAGAUGAAACUCCUAUUCUGUUCCUGUUUGGAAAAUGUUGCAAUUUGGGAUUUCUGAGCAAUCUUCUGUUUCGGCCCUGUCCCUUUUGAUCCAGCUUCCAUGGAUAAAAAUUCACUGCUACGGCAGCUGUGGGGGUGAAGGUGACUGGACUUGAUGUUCUUUCCUAGGCCCUCCCAUUCAGUGUACAGAGAUCCCUAUGGAGAUAAAGAAGAAUGAGUAUAAAGGAAAUUCAGGGCAGCAAGACACAGGGUAAGGACUGAGAUGUCUUCCAUACUGUGAUGGAAGGAAUAGCAUCAACCCUAAAAGCAAAGGAACAAACAGCUCCAGCAUCUGCUGCUAUAGCAGAAGUAGGUCCUGUUUAUAUCAGGGAAAGAUCUGCAGAUUACAGCAGGAGUUAACUACAGCUUUCCCAAAAGCUCUCAUCUGACUUGAGUCCAAGCUGGAUUCUGGAUGCUGCAAGGCUGUUACGUCAGGAUGCUGCAAAGGAGGUUGUUGCAUCUUCUUACUGUAGAGUUGGUGAAGUUUCCCUGUGUGCGGGGAAUACAACAUUUAUGGACAGGAAGCUGGUUUCCUUGCUUUCUGGUUUUCUUGUUGCUGUUGUUUUUAAACGGGUUAACACUCUUAGUUCCAGGAAACUGAAACUAGAUGUAAACAAGGGUUGGAGGGAGGAAGUAGGGAGAAUCCCAUACAAGAUUCAAAUGUGUCUCAUUUCUGGGAAAACUAAAUAAAGCAGGAUUCAGUUGCCAGUAGCUAAAUAGCAACAAUUUAUGAGCUGUUCAUCAAAAACCCCAGACAAGCACCGAGUCCUGUGGGAAGCUGGAAAUUGUCACAGGGCACCUCCAAAAGGCUCCGUUGUUGAAACUUAUUUUAAACCUUUUUUCAAGUGGAGGAUCCAGUCCUGGUAAAUGUGUAAGGUCAGCCCUUAGAACAGCAAAUAGCUUUCUCCAGACGAUCAAACAAGUGGCCAAAGUGUCCAUUUGUCUGCCUGUCUUUUGGCCUUGGAUUACUGUGCUAUUUAAAACUGUGUUUUAAUAACUCAGAUAAAUGGUAGAUGUUCCACAUAGCUCUACAAGUAGUAAUCAUCCUGUUCAUGCAUAAUAUCUGAUAUCUAAGGGAUGGGCCCAAACUAGAGGUAUUUCUCAUUUACCUAUGAAGCGUCUUGCUUUAGCGUAUGUACAGUCAAUUCUUGUGAACAUGUGAGUCCACUGCCUGCUCUAAAGGAGGUGGUGACUUAGUUUCAGUGGCUGUAGAGAGCUUCACUGAAAUAGCACUGUUUGUAGUCCUUCAUGUGUUUUAGAAGGCACAAUAGCCAGACAGUUCUGAAAAUGUAAUAUAAUUGUGUGCAGUGUUCCCAGAAAAAUGCUCUGAAUUCUUUUCCCAUUGUACCAUUGUGAUAAAAACCUCUGUUGCUUUUCAAGCUCCACAAGUCCACGCUGUGCCGUGCUGAAACUGAUAGAAAACCCAAUUAGCACUGAAAAGUGAAGGGCAGAGAGGGAUGCUCUGGCCUGCAAUCCCCUCCUUUUGGCAGCAGCAAAGGUCAGUCCUGCAGCCAAGUGUCCAUAACCAAAUGUGGAACCACUCUGUGCGCGUUGCCAGCUCUCGGCACAGGAGAGUGGGAGAGUGGGUAGAAAGAAUUGGCUCUGGGAAGGGAGAGACUGAGAGGAAGAGUGGUGUAAAGGAUACCCUGAGCGUGACGACUGGGAUUUUCAGAGGGUACUCUGAUGGAUGCUGGGCAUCCAGCUUCCCUAGGACUCUUUAUCAGUAACACCCUCUACAUUUUCAUGAACGGCUUUUAGCCUGUCUGGCAGUCGUCACAGUCAAUGUGUGAGGGAAAAGAGGUAGAAGGCAGCUUUCUCUGAUUCGGCAGCUUUCGGCACCUGUAACAGCCUAGGACUGUAGUACUGCCUUGUAGCUGCUGGCUGAGGGUCUGAUCCUCUGAUGAGCUGUGACUUCCCGACUACCUGUGACUCAAACAGGCUUAUAGGACCGGGCUUACAGAAACCCUGAGGUGCCAGAUCCAAAGAUGCUUUCGGAGCAGAUCUGCUCAGUAGGCCUGAGCGUGGAUGUGAGCCCACAGUUCUUAGGAGGCAACAUUCACUCCGCGUUCAUAUUGUUUGGGCGCAAACAAUACAGAGACCUACUCUACGUCUCAGUGCAGCCCAGCAUGCAGUGUGGGACAUCUCUGAGUCACUGGGUAUCCUGAUGUGUGUGGCAAGGCCGUGUGACUGACCGUGGGUAGCCAGAGCUGCCAUGGACCCUUUUUGCAAGGGCGGUUGUCUUCAGAGUCAACUUAAGUGCAGGCUGUGUUUAGAAAGGUGCGAAUAUGCUGCAGAAGUCUAUGGGUACCCUUCAGAUACAUGGCACGCAAGUCAGAGACUUUAGACCAUGCUGUGUGCCAGCACAAACAGCAGGGAUGUUAGUUACAGGAUUGCUUUUCUUUUGCCAGGAAACCUUGCUCCGAUGCAUUAUUUCAAGGAAGGCAGUUGGGAUUUGCAGGCCAGAUCAUGUGGUGAGAUAAGUAAUUCCAGCUUCCUUAUUGGAGCUAAGCUGAUUUAUACAAGUCUGGUCCAACAUUUCUGAGAAAUUGUAGGGGUAGGGUUUUUUUGUUUGUUAGUUGCGCUGAAAACCUGAAGCCUUUCAAAUAAAGGACAUGAAGUAAACAGAAUUUUUAGAUGGAGCAUGUGCUUCAGGCUGGCUGCUGGAUUCAGACUUUGAGAAUACAAGUUCUUUGUAGAGAAUCCCACACACAGUGGGAGAAGAGGUUAUUGGGCUUGAAAGUUGACCAAAUAGAUGGGACUCAACUGAGCUUUGAACAGCAAUCAUUGUCCUUAUUGGUGAUGCCAUAAUAUGCGCUUGACUCAAACCCAACGUUGCACAGGCCAGAACCUGAUGAAACCAUGUAACUAGAUAUUUGUGAUUGUUCCUACCAGUGUGAUCCACUGUUAAAUAGGCUAGACAUACGAAUAAAUUCAAUAUUUUUUAAA